rnacentral:lncRNA from 1 species
CCGCCAUGCUUUCAAUCAACUCACAGGCCUCCUCAAUAGUCUUUCUCUUGAUAUUACCUCCAGUUGAAGCAUCUAGCAUAAGCUUUGACUAUGUACCAAGACCUCCAAGGAACGUGAGAACUAAAGUUUUCUCAUCAAAACCGUGCACAGGCGUCUUUCUCAAUAAGCUUUUAAAUCUAUCCCACACCUGACCUAGGGUUUCC